UACGAAGGGGGCUAGCGUUGCUCGGGAAUCACUGGGCGUAAAGGGUGCGUAGGCGGGUUUUUAAGCAGAGGUGAAAUCCUGGAGCUCAACUCCAGAACUGCCUUUGAUACUGAAGAUCUUGAGUUCGGGAGAGGUGAGUGGAACUGCGAGUGUAGAGGUGAAAUUCGUAGAUAUUCGCAAGAACACCAGUGGCGAAGGCGGCUCACUGGCCCGAUACUGACGCUGAGGCAC
rnacentral:rRNA from 1 species